CUUAGAUUUAAAUGAUUCAUUAAGAUUAUGGACCCAAUUGUGAGAUAUGAAUACAGUUCUGACUAGUUUUUCAAUGUGCAUUUUUAAUGUAUGUGUUCAGAGUGGCUGUAUAUAUUUUGUAUGUAGUCUGUACAGUACAUACAUUUUCUGUUCUUCAUGUCUGUCCAGAUAGCUAUGGACCAGAUGAGUGCUGUUUUAGAUACUUUCUUGGAAGACUGAGGAUGUAUCUGAUAACUGGAUAUAAAGAGACCAGAGCAGACUGCGCUAAACCUGGAAUUAUAUUUUACACCAAAAAGGGCAAAGAACUGUGUGUCGAUCCCAGCCAUCGCUGGGUUCAGCAGGUGAAGGAGAAGCUGGAUCAGCAGUAACACCUCCUGUCUGCCUGGCAAAACAUGAAGAAUGAAUUUUAUUACAUUUCAGGUUCUGCUGAAAUUAUCAUACAACGUUACUUUCUGUCAUCAUCAAAAUCAUUUUAACUUUUGCUGCAUUUUAUACUGUAGUAUCGUUUGUAUUUUUUAUUUUAUUUUUGAAACAAUAGUCAAAUUUCAGUUGCACUUAUACUUCUCUACAUACAUAUGUUACUCCAUAAAGAUUAUUAUUAUUAUUAUUAAUAUUAUUUAAAGUUAUGCUGGCCGGUCCAUUACAGACAGUUCUGUGCUUUUCAGUGGUGGAGGGCGUGCUCAAAAAUUUACUUCAAUAAAAAUAGAAAUAAACAUAUAACCCCCUAAAUUUGCGGGGCAGUCUGGCUGAAUUUUUAGUUGGGUUAAGAAGAACUCAUUUUUUCCCAGCAGGGGGUGGUAUACUUUAACAAUGCGGUAACUCCUUGCUCUUACACGACAUAAGAGAAAUGCGCGUAACUGCGGUGGAAAACACAUCGUGUGGUGAAGGUGCCGAGUGGAUGAGGAGUUCAUUAUAAUUUUGUAGUCGAUAUGUGAAAUAUACAUAUUACUGUUAUCUGAGUUUUCCGUGUUUAAAGCAAAAGGAGAACAGCUAACCUUACCAGGAUUUUAUGGGAGCUGAACUUCCAUGGAUUUCAGAUAAGCUAAGAAAAAGAAAGAAAAGAACCGACGAAAGCAAGACAUUACUGACUGACUGGACUAAAAUGACUGACGAAAGCUUCGUGAUGUAUUAUUGUAAAAAUAUAGGUUGAGUAAGUUCAUAUUAAGUAUUGAGCGAUAUUAUCUUUAGGGAGGUGCUAAUUUCCUGGUGUUAUUGUUUAUAACAGUUAUUCAUUUUGUCCUGUUUCAGUUUUAUCUGUAAUCUCUUAUAUGUAUCUUUUUUGUGGAAAUGCAAACUGUGAAUCUAAAGGAUUCAGUACAAUAUAUAGAAGAGCGAACCAGGCAAAACUUAGAGGGAAAUUGUUUAUUUUACUAUUUCUUUUUAGGCAAAUGUUUAUAGCUAAAAAAAAUGUGGUCUUGUUUUACUUACUUUCCUCCUUCUCGAGAUACAAGCACGAUGUGCUCUAGUGAAAGUCGAGGUACCACAUUGGCCUUUCUACUUAAGUAAAAGUAAGUACUUGCUUGUAAACAUGCUUAACGCGUUAAAGUAAGAAUACAAUGAACUUGUAGUUCCUGAUGCAACUAUAUAACACGGCAGUAAGUAUGUCUACUGUACAUUUAUUUUAUUAAAUACAAAAAUUCAGGCAUGACAGUGUUGUAUUUUCCAAUCUAAACAUUUAAAAAAUGAAAUGCUAGUUUAUAAUAAGAGCUUCAGAAAUAUCAUAUUCCAUUGAGUUCUAAUGAUUAAUGCUGAUUCAGCAAUAGCUGUGACACUGAUAUACUGUGUGUUGGGUUGUGUACAGAAAAUAUGCUAUUUCAUGAUUUAUAUUAUCAGGACAUGAGAUUUUGCUCAUAUCGCAAAGACCUAUAUGUGUGUGUUAAAACUUGCUUACGAAACUUAAAGUUAAAAAUAAAACACUUUUCCAUAAAACAGUUCAUUUAUUAAUCAUAUAUAUACACUAUAUGGACAAAAGUAUUGGGACACCUGGCCAUUACACCUACAGGAACCUUUAUGACAUUCCACUCUAAAUCCAUAGGCAUCAGUAUGGAGUUGGUCCCCCCUUUACAGCUAUAACAGCUGUGUCUGGAAAGGCUUUCCACAAGAUUAUGGAGUGUGUUUAUGGGAAUUUUUGACCAUUCUUGCAGAAGAGCAUUUGUGAGGUCAGGUACUGAUGAUGGACAUGAAGGCCUGGCUUCUUGUAGCUGUCGCUGGGCUUUACUUUGACGAGAAAACCUCCGAAAUCUCCGUAUUGUCUGUCCCAUCGCUACUUUUCCCUGUUUUCAUCCGAUUAAAAAAGAUACGGGAAAAGUUAUUGUAAAAUAUAACGCAAGGCUAAGUAGGAAUGCAAUAGAGUUGAAAGUGUAAAUAUUUGCUGUAAGAUGUAGUAGAGUAAAAGUCAAAGGUGUCCACGGCUAAAUCGUGACGUACAGAAAUGUGAGAAAUAUACUUAAGUGCAGUAAUGAAGUGCUUGUACUUCCUUACUUUUCACCCCUGGUGCUCCUACAAAUGAGGCACCAGUGGUGAAUUCAGUUACCCACCGGAGGAACAUUCAGAAGUGUACAUUAGAAAUGGGACUAAACUGUCAAUAAAGUUUCAUAGCAAAGUUCUGAAUUAUUUUUUCAAUGUGAUGUUUCAGGUUUUUAUUUUUAAUAAAUUGGCAAAAAUUUCUGAAA